rnacentral:rRNA from 1 species
UACGUAGGUGGCAAGCGUUGUUCGGAAUUACUGGGCGUAAAGGGCGCGUAGGCGGUCGGGCAAGUCCUGUGUGAAAUCCCUCGGCUCAACUGAGGAACUGCACGGGGAACUGCUCGACUUGAGUUCGGGAGAGGGAAGCGGAAUUCCGGGUGUAGCGGUGAAAUGCGUAGAGAUCCGGAGGAACACCGGUGGCGAAGGCGGCUUCCUGGACCGACACUGACGCUGAGGCGCGAAAGCCAGGGGAGCAAACGGG